UACAGAGGGGGCAAGCGUUGUUCGGAAUUACUGGGCGUAAAGGGCGCGUAGGCGGCCUGUUAAGUCGAACGUGAAAUCCCCGGGCUCAACCCGGGAACUGCGUCCGAUACUGGCAGGCUUGAAUUCGGGAGAGGGAUGUGGAAUUCCAGGUGUAGCGGUGAAAUGCGUAGAGAUCCGGAGGAACACCAGUGGCGAAGGCGACACGCUGGGCCGUACCUGACACUGAGGCGCGAAAGCGUGGGGAGCAAACAGG
rnacentral:rRNA from 1 species